CGCCGCGGUGGAAGCGGGUGAACAGCUGUUCCCGGUCGUCGUCCGGGAUGCCGAUGCCGGUGUCGGUGACCACGAGUUCGAUCACGUCCGGGUCGG
rnacentral:tRNA from 1 species